rnacentral:rRNA from 1 species
GAGAGUUUGAUUCUGGCUCAGGACGAACGCUGGCGGCGUGCCUAAUACAUGCAAGUCGAACGCUUCUUUCUUAUCGAACUUUUAGUUCACCAAGAAAGAGGAGUGGCGGACGGGUGAGUAACACGUGGGUAACCUGCCCUUUAGCGGGGGAUAACACUUGGAAACAGGUGCUAAUACCGCAUAAUCUUUUUUCUCGCAUGAGUAAAAAGUGAAAGACGCUUUUGCGUCACUAAAGGAUGGGCCCGCGCUGCAUUAGCUAGUUGGUGAGGUAACGGCUCACCAAGGCCACGAUGCAUAGCCGACCUGAGAGGGUGAUCGGCCACACUGGGACUGAGACACGGCCCAGACUCCUACGGGAGGCAGCAGUAGGGAAUCUUCGGCAAUGGACGAAAGUCUGACCGAGCAACGCCGCGUGAGUGAAGAAGGUUUUCGGAUCGUAAAACUCUGUUGUUAGAGAAGAAUAAGGAUGAGAGUAGAAAGUUCAUCCCUUGACGGUAUCUAACCAGAAAGCCACGGCUUACUCA